AUUGACCGCUGGCGGCAGGCCUAACACAUGCAAGUCGAACGAGUGGCGGACGGGUGAGUAAUGUCUGGGAAACUGCCUGAUGGAGGGGGAUAACUACUGGAAACGGUAGCUAAUACCGCAUACCAUCAGAUGUGCCCAGAUGGGAUUAGCUUGUAGGUGGGGUAACGGCUCACCAAGGCGACGCUCCCUAGCUGGUCUGAGAGGAUGACCGGCCACCAGGGAACUGAGACACGGGCCAGACUCCUACGGGAGGCAGAAGUGGGGAAUAUUGCACAAUGGGCGCAAGCCUGAUGCAGCCAUGCCGCGUGUAUGAAGAAGGCCUUCGGGUUGGAAAGUACUUUCAGCGGGGAGGCGGUACCCGCAGAAGAAGCAACGGCUAACUCCGUGCCAGCAGCCGCGGUAAUUC
rnacentral:rRNA from 1 species